rnacentral:rRNA from 1 species
AACGCUAGCUACAGGCUUAACACAUGCAAGUCGAGGGGCAGCAGGGAUUUAGCUUGCUAAAUCCGCUGGCGACCGGCGCACGGGUGCGUAACGCGUAUCCAACUUUCCCGUUACUCAGGGAUAGCCUUCCGAAAGGGAGAUUAAUACCUGAUGGUGUUUGAAGUUCGCAUGUUCUUCAAACUAAAGAUUUAUCGGUAACGGAUAGGGAUGCGUGACAUUAGAUAGUAGGCGGGGUAACGGCCCACCUAGUCUACGAUGUCUAGGGGUUCUGAGAGGAAGGUCCCCCACACUGGAACUGAGACACGGUCCAGACUCCUACGGGAGGCAGCAGUGAGGAAUAUUGGUCAAUGGUCGGAAGACUGAACCAGCCAAGUAGCGUGAAGGAUGAAGGUUCUAUGGAUUGUAAACUUCUUUUAUACGGGAAUAAAACCUCCCACGUGUGGGAGCUUGUAUGUACCGUAUGAAUAAGCAUCGGCUAACUCCGUGCCAGCAGCCGCGGUAAUACGGAGGAUGCGAGCGUUAUCCGGAUUUAUUGGGUUUAAAGGGAGCGUAGACGGGAGAUUAAGUCAGUUGUGAAAGGCUGCGGCUCAACCGCAGCACUGCAGUUGAUACUGGUUUCCUUGAGUUCGGUUGAGGUGUAUGGAAUUCGUGGUGUAGCGGUGAAAUGCUUAGAUAUCACGAAGAACUCCGAUUG